rnacentral:rRNA from 1 species
AUUGAACGCUGGCGGCAGGCCUAACACAUGCAAGUCGAACGAGUGGCGGACGGGUGAGUAAUGUCUGGGAAACUGCCCGAUGGAGGGGGAAAACUACUGGAAACGGUAGUUAAUACCGCAUACCAUCGGAUUGGCCCAGAUGGGAUUAGCUAGUAGGUGGGGUAACGGCUCACCUAGGCCACGAUCCAUAGCUGGUCUGAGAGGAUUACCAGCCACACUGGAACUGAGACACGGUCCAGACUCCUACGGGAGGCAGCAGUGGGGAAUAUUGCGCAAUGGGCGCAAGCCUGAUGCAGCCAUGCCGCGUGUGUGAAGAAGGCCUUCGGAUUGUAAAGUACUUUCAGCAGGGAAGCGUUACUCGAAGAAGAAGCACCGGCUAACUCCGUGCCAGCAGCCGCGGUAAUUC